rnacentral:misc_RNA from 1 species
UGGUUCUGGCAUCGAUGAAGAACGCAGCGAAAUGCGAUAAGUAAUGUGAAUUGCAGAAUUCAGUGAAUCAUCGAAUCUUUGAACGCACAUUGCGCCCGGUGGUAUUCCGCCGGGCAUGCCUGUUCGAGCGUCAUUUAAACCAAUCUAGCAUAAUGCUUAGGUCUUGGGCUUCGCCUUUUGGCGGGCCUUAAAAUCAGUGGCGGCGCUAUCCGGCUCUAAGCGUAGUAAUACUUCUCGCUAUAGAUGUUAGGUGGUGUCUUGCCAAUAACUUUCAUUUUAAUGGUUGACCUCGGAUCAGGUAGGGAUACCCGCUGA